GCUCAGAUUGAACGCUGGCGGCAGGCUUAACACAUGCAAGUCGAGCGGAGUGAUGGUGCUUGCACUAUCACUUAGCGGCGGACGGGUGAGUAAUGCUUAGGAAUCUGCCUAUUAGUGGGGGACAACAUUUCGAAAGGAAUGCUAAUACCGCAUACGUCCUACGGGAGAAAGCAGGGGAUCUUCGGACCUUGCGCUAAUAGAUGAGCCUAAGUCGGAUUAGCUAGUUGGUGGGGUAAAGGCCUACCAAGGCGACGAUCUGUAGCGGGUCUGAGAGGAUGAUCCGCCACACUGGGACUGAGACACGGCCCAGACUCCUACGGGAGGCAGCAGUGGGGAAUAUUGGACAAUGGGCGCAAGCCUGAUCCAGCCAUGCCGCGUGUGUGAAGAAGGCCUUAUGGUUGUAAAGCACUUUAAGCGAGGAGGAGGCUACUGAAGUUAAUACCUUCAGAUAGUGGACGUUACUCGCAGAAUAAGCACCGGCUAACUCUGUGCCAGCAGCCGCGGUAAUACAGAGGGUGCAAGCGUUAAUCGGAUUUACUGGGCGUAAAGCGCGCGUAGGCGGCUAAUUAAGUCAAAUGUGAAAUCCCCGAGCUUAACUUGGGAAUUGCAUUCGAUACUGGUUAGCUAGAGUGUGGGAGAGGAUGGUAGAAUUCCAGGUGUAGCGGUGAAAUGCGUAGAGAUCCUGGAGGAAUACCGAUGGCGAAGGCAGCCNUCGGCCUAA
rnacentral:rRNA from 1 species